rnacentral:misc_RNA from 1 species
GUGAAUCAUCAAAUUUUUGAACGCAAAUUGCACUCUCUUCGGAGAGUAUGCCUGUUUGAGGGUCAGCCUAAAACAAAUCGACAUAGUUGCUGUUUCGCGGUGACAUUCGUCGGAAAUUGGGUCAUCUUAAACCUUUGGGUUUUAAGCGGCUUAAAAUUUUCUUUACGACGCCACGCACGUUUCUAAGAUUUACUUCUUACGUAUAAGUUAUCGAUUUUUAUUAGACUUUUCCGUUAC